rnacentral:tmRNA from 1 species
GGGGCUGUAUUUGAUUCGACAGAGUAGUUGUACGUAUGGAUGCAAGUAGUAGGCGUACUUUAAACGCAAAACAAAAUAAUCGGAAAAGAUUACAAUUACGCACCUGCUUUUGCCUAAUUAAGGCGUAAGGUGGUUCGGCUUAUUCUUUGUUCACGAGAAUAAUAACCGGACUCAUAAAAGUGAACUAUAUUAUAUGAGUGUUCAGGUAAUAUAAUGAAUUCAUAACUGGACUUAGAAAAAUAUAGGAACGUUGGCAAUCCAUAAUAUUUUUUGAAAUUAAAAACCAACUAAACUUGUAAGAAGUCUGUAUGGUUGAUACUUUGGACACGAAGUCGCACUUCGUCAGCUCCACC